rnacentral:rRNA from 1 species
UACGAAGGGGGCUAGCGUUGCUCGGAAUCACUGGGCGUAAAGGGUGCGUAGGCGGUUUGGUAAGUCUUGUGUGAAAUCUACAGGCUCAACUUGUAGUCUGCACGAGAAACUGCCGGGCUUGAGUGUGGGAGAGGUGAGUGGAAUUCCUGGUGUAGCGGUGAAAUGCGUAGAUAUCAGGAGGAACACCUGUGGCGAAAGCGGCUCACUGGACCAUAACUGACGCUGAUGCACGAAAGCUAGGGGAGCAAACAGG